CCUAUUGCCCGUCGUUUGAAGUUAGGCCUGGUGGUUCGGUGCCUGGUCUGCCAUGUGCGCAGUGUGCAUUUGCCAAGACAAACGCGUACCCACUUUGGCAGCAGGAGCUUAUCACGGAGAGACUGUGUCGAUAUAUCUCUGACGUCCUGCAGGAGGUCGGAACUCAUACCAGUGCGUCUCAUAUCUCUGAAACGGAUGGUUGCGUGCGCCCUGGAUGGUGCACAUUGUCAAGCUUGAUUAAUUGACAAUAAACCUGUUGUUAGCAAUUUUUGAUCAGGCGGUGAACCGUAACGGAAUUAUGGAGCGAAGAGUGAGAGUCGGUGUGAAUUACAGUGGUGAACUUGAUAGUAGGAGCACGUGCUUUCUUCGUUCUUCGAAACUGUCCAAUUUUGAGCGCCCACGUGGGAAUGGCAUGAAGAACUCAAAUACUUGAUCCUAAGUGAUUCUUGAAAACACGCAGGACCGUAGCAGCUUGUUGCAAAAGAUGUCCCCUUGUAUGGACCGGUUUAGAGACACGCUCAUUAAAAUGGAUGAAAGCAUCAAAUCGGAGGGACGUAGCACAAUAAUUGAUUCAGUCUGGAUGGAUUUUUUCCCCCCCAACAUAUUGUAGCAAAGAAACAUCCCCGAAAGCUGCUUAAGAAGACAUUUUGGAGCAAUUCCAAGUGUUUCAAAGGCUUUAACGUAUCUUAGCUGCCGAUGCUUGUUUGAAGCCCAAAUAAAAUUAAAUGAAAAAUACUCAUAAGACAUAGUGACAUAAUUUAAGCUACUUAAAUUGGUGAACCAGUAUUGUUCCAUAUGAGUUCCACUGCAGGUUGACACUUGUAGCUUAAUGAACUGUUCUAUCUACCAAGCCGACGCGAGCGAUGAAGAAUGAAGAAUGAAGAUAGAAUGAAGAUGUUAAUUGCUGAGAAUGACAGCGAUGACUAAAUUGUAGCAUAUUGUGCUAAUUAACACAAAAGAAGAAUAUAACUGUAACAUUCCGGACGCUAUGUCACAUUACGCAUACAGUGAUGGACAAAACAGUAGAACCAUCUCCAUAUCCGAUUUUAACUGCUUUUGGCAUUUCUAUAAAGAACAGUUCUUUACAAAGCUAUAGGAACACCUGUUUUAAGUAAUAAGCUAGUUCUUCGAAUUCUUACAAGAGAUAGUUAAAAUUGAUUUCUAGUAAAUUAUUUCAUUAAUCAAUAGGAUCGGCAUGGCCGUAUUGUUUUUCUUACAGGUUAUAAAGAAUAAUAAAACACAGUUUGUGAAUAAAAAUAUUGUUUGGCUCCUUAUAGAUACGGUAUAACACAAACACUCCAGGAAAAUAGUUUCCUCCGCUGACUGUUAAUUAUUAAACUUUUAUUA